rnacentral:lncRNA from 1 species
GUUGCUUUUAUGUGAACACUACAAGGCUUCCCUCUCAUGGAGAGAAGUUCUAUAGCACUCUUCUGUAUGUAAUAUAACAUCUUUAGGUUAGAUUUGUAUUUAGCCUUUGAGUUCUGCAGUUUUCAUCCUCUUGGUCUUCCACUUCAACUUUCCUUUCUGCUGGACUUUUCUGUUCUGUCUCCUGCUUCAUUUUAACUGUGGGACAGGGCUUUUCCGAACCUGUUGUGAGUGACAUCGUCACACAUGAAAAGGAGGUGAGACUAAGAAAAGUGUCUCUUCUGAAGGAUGGACACACACACAGGUCGAAUUGAUUUACGACCCCCUCCCAUGGAAACCAGGUGUCUUCAACUCCCAACUCCUACAACCAUCGUCCUCUUUGUGUUCUGCUGGCCACCGUGUUGGAUGUUAACAAUACAGAGGAAAACCCCUCAGGAAGAAGCUCCAACUGAUGAAAUGCAAGACUCUACUAUGUAUUCAUAACACAAAAUAUCUCCAUAACAACCACACAGGGUUCACGUUAGGUUUAAGGGGGAGGGAGUACAGGUUAUUGAUUUUGGUUGGUAUUCAGAGUUGAGAUCCUCACGUUUAACUCUUACUUUUGUGUAAAUCAUUCAUUGACGUCAAUGGGAGACAUGCACCAUAAUUUGAAUACCAUCUCAAAAUACAUAUUAGUACUAUAUUUAAACCCCUUUAUAUUAUGUGGGAUUUUAGAUUCUUGAUGAAACAGCCUUUGCACAAUCCCUUGUACAUCCUAAUAGAAUCAAUGCUGUGAAAAUGAAAUUUGAUCAACCACAUUUGUAGCAAAUAAAUGUAUGUUUGUAAUGAAA